CCUACGGGAGGCAGCAGUGAGGAAUAUUGGUCAAUGGGAGAGAUCCUGAACCAGCCAAGCCGCGUGAGGGAAGACGGCCCUAUGGGUUGUAAACCUCUUUUGUCAGGGAACAAAGGCGGGGACGCGUCCCCGGAUGAGUGUACCUGCAGAAAAAGCAUCGGCUAACUCCGUGCCAGCAGCCGCGGUAAUACGGAGGACGCGAGCGUUAUCCGGAUUUAUUGGGUUUAAAGGGUGCGCAGGCGGAAGCGGCAAGUCAGCGGUAAAAUUGCGGGGCUCAACCUCGCCGAGCCGUUGAAACUGCUCUUCUAGAGUGGGCGAGAAGUAUGCGGAAUGCGUGGUGUAGCGGUGAAAUGCAUAGAUAUCACGCAGAACUCCGAUUGCGAAGGCAGCAUACCGGCGCCCAACUGACGCUCAUGCACGAAAGCGUGGGUAUCGAACAGGAUUAGAUACCCUGGUAGUC
rnacentral:rRNA from 1 species